rnacentral:rRNA from 1 species
GACGAACGCUGGCGGCGUGCCUAAUACAUGCAAGUCGAACGAGAGCAACCGGUGCUUGCACUGGUCAAUCUAGUGGCGAACGGGUGAGUAACACGUGGGUAACCUGCCCAUCAGAGGGGGAUAACAUCCGGAAACGGAUGCUAAAACCGCAUAGGUCUUCGAACCGCAUGGAUUGAAGAGGAAAAGAGGCGCAAGCUUCUGCUGAUGGAGAGACCCGCGGUGCAUUAGCUCGUUGGUGAGGUAACGGCUCACCAAGGCCGUGAUGCAUAGCCGACCUGAGAGGGUGAUCGGCCACAUUGGGACUGAGACACGGCCCAAACUCCUACGGGAGGCAGCAGUAGGGAAUCUUCCGCAAUGGACGCAAGUCUGACGGAGCCACGCCGCGUGAGUGAAGAAGGUUUUCGGAUCGUAAAACUCUGUUGUUAGGGAAGAACAAGUGCUAGAGUAACUGUUAGCGCCUUGACGGUAUCUAACCAGAAAGCCACGGCUAACUACGUG